AACAAAACAACGAAGUGGCCAAGUGUUUUUAAGCAGGAAAGACGUGCUUAAGGCUUUCUGCAUUAACUAAAAAUAUAAUUUACUUUGAAUAUGUGAUAGUGAUUUUAUAAAAUAUUUUUAAUAUUUUUUAUAUUUGAAAAUUUUUGUUAUUUAAAUAUUAAAAAUGUUAAAAAUAUUUUUUAAAAUCAGUGUGCAAGUGUAACUCUAAUAAUUAUCACAAUUCAUGGGGAGAAUGGAGAUCAAGAUUCAAUUUUGUCCCACCAUUUGGGAGUCGGACUCAGGUGAGCGAAUUGGCCAAGGAAGCUUCAGGUGCGCGUCGAGCCUCGCUCCAGUGCGCGUCGCGGCGCGCUUCAGGUGCCCGUCGGGGCGCGCUUCAGGUCGCUUCAGGGUCAUGUCGAGGCGCGCUCAGGUGAGCGAAUUGGCCUAGGAACGCUUCAGGUGCGCGUCGAGCCUCGCUCCAGUGCGCGUCGCUGCGCGCUUCAGGUGAGCGUCGGGGCGCGCUUCGGGGUCGUGUUGAGGAGCGCUCAGGUGCGCGUCGAGCCUCGCUACAGUGCGCGUCGUGGGGCGCUUCAGGUGCGCGUCGGGGCGCGCUUCAGGUCGCUUCGGGGUAAGCUUCAGGGUCUUGUCAAGGCGCGCUCAGGUGAGCGAAUUGGCAAGGAACGCUUCAGGAGCGCGUCGGGGUAAGCUUCAGGGUCGUGUCGAGGCGCGCUCAGUUGAGCGAAUUGGCCAAGAAACGCUUCAGGUGCGCGUCGAGCCUCGCUCCAGUGCGCGUCGCGGCGCGCUUCAGGUCGCUUCGGGGCGCGCUUCAGGGUCGUGUUGAGGAGCGCUCAGGUGAGCGAAUUGGCCAAGGAAGCUUCAGGUGCGCGUCGAGCCACUCUCCAGUGCGCGUCGAGGCGCGCUUCAGGUGCGCGUCGGGGCGGCUUCAGGUCGCUUCGGGGUAAGCUUCAGGGUCGUGUCGAGGCGCGCUCAGGUGAGCGAAUUGGCCUAGGAACGCUUCAGCUGCGGGUCGAGCCUCGCUCCAGUGCGCGUCGCGGCGCGCAUCAGGUGAGCGUCGGGGCGCGCUUCAGGGUCGUGUUGAGGAGCGCUCAGGUGAGCGAAUUGGCCAAGGAAGCUUCAGGUGCGCGUCGAGCCUCGCUCCAGUGCGCGUCGCGGCGCGCUUCAGGUGCGCGUCGGGGCGCGCUUCAGGUCGCUUCGGGGUAAGCUUCAGGGUCGUGUCGAGGCGCGCUCAGGUGAGCGAAUUGGCUUCAGGUGCGCGUCGAGCCUCGCUCCAGUGCGCGUCGAGCCUCGCUUCAGUGCGCGUCGGGGCGCGCUUCAGGUGCGCGUCGGGGCGCGCUUCGGGGUCGUGUCAAGGCGCGCUUCAGAGCGAGGCGGCUACCCCGAAAGGGAUACGCGUCAGGGUUCGAGAAUGGAUGAGGCACGCUUCCGGUGCCCGCUUUUCAGACCUGGAGGGUGGACGAGUCAGUCUGAAUGUGGUUGAACAAAAAAUGAAAUGGAUGCAAAGCAAAUUGUACAUUUGUUUUUUUAUAAGAACUAUACAUUUUAUGUAAAGGUUUUAUAUUUUAUGUAAAAUAUAGAAAGUAUAUCCA